rnacentral:rRNA from 1 species
GUUGGUUCUACCCGAAGAUGGUGCGCUAACCGCAAGGAGGCAGCCAGCCACGGUAGGGGCAGCGACUGGGGUGAAGUCGUAACAAGGUAGCCGUAGGUGAACCUGCAGAAGGAUCA